rnacentral:rRNA from 1 species
UACAUAGGGAGCAAGCGUUGUCCGGAAUCAUUGGGCGUAAAGCGCGCGUAGGUGGCCAUUUAAGUCCGCUGUGAAAGUCAAAGGCUCAACCUUUGAAAGCCGGUGGAUACUGGGUGGCUAGAGUACGGAAGAGGCGAGUGGAAUUCCUGGUGUAGCGGUGGAAUGCGCAGAUAUCAGGAGGAACACCAAUAGCGAAGGCAGCUCGCUGGGACGUUACUGACACUGAGGCGCGAAAGCGUGGGGAGCGAACAGG